UAUCCGUCGUGUUUAUUUAUGUUUAAACUGCCUCUAUUAUGAUGCCGCGUUCCAUCGAAUCAUUUUAAAUCCAAACACAACACUGAGCUGAACGGAGCAACAUUGAAUAUCUGCACUAAAAUAAAGAGAUUUUAGAAGAAAACUCCAUGGAUUUCCGCGCUCCUCCCGACCAAACUCAGUCAGCUCACGGCUCCUUCAUCUCCCAGUCUGAGUCUGCUGUUCCUGCACCAGCUCGGAAGCCG